UACGGAGGGGGCGAGCGUUAUUCGGAAUUAUUGGGCGUAAAGGGCGCGUAGGCGGCUGUACAAGUCAAAGGUGAAAUCCCCGUCGGCUCAACUGAGGAACUGCCUUUGAAACUGUACGGCUUGAGGCCGGGAGGGGGUAGCGGAAUUCCCAGUGUAGCGGUGAAAUGCGUAGAUACUGGGAGGAACACCAGUGGCGAAGGCGCUGACCUGGACCGGUUCUGACGCUGAGGCGCGAAAGCGUGGGUAGCAAACAGG
rnacentral:rRNA from 1 species